GACGAACGCUGGCGGCGUGCUUAACACAUGCAAGUCGAGCGGUAAGGCCCUUUCGGGGGUACGACGAGCGGCGAACGGGUAGAGUAACACGUGGGUGACCUGCCCUCAGCUCUGGGAUAAGCCUGGGAAACCGGGGUCUAAUACUGGAUAUGACUCCAUGACGCAUGUUGUGGGGUGGAAAGCCUUGUGCGGCUGAGGAUGGGCCCGCGGCCUAUCAGCUUGUUGGUGGGGUGAGGCCUACCAAGGCGACGACGGGUAGCCGGCCUGAGAGGGCGACCGGCCACACUGGGACUGAGACACGGCCCAGACUCCUACGGGAGGCAGCAGUGGGGAAUCUUGCGCAAUGGGCGAAAGCCUGACGCAGCGACGCCGCGUGAGGGAUGACGGCCUGU
rnacentral:rRNA from 1 species